UAUACAAGGUUACAGAGAUGUCAACAUCUAUACAGUUACAGAGCUGAUCAACCCUAUACAAGGUUAGCAGAGACUGAUCAACAUCUAUACAAGGUUACAGAGACUGAUCAACAUCUAUACAAGGUUACAGAGACUGAUCAACAUCUAUACAAGGUUACAGAGACUACUGAUCAACAU
rnacentral:lncRNA from 1 species